AGCUUUUAUCAGGUAUCAGCAAUUGUCUUUCAUUAGGGGGAAGAAUGAAGAAGAAUACUAAAAAUAGCAUACUUAUAAACUGAGACAGUUUUGAGUGCUUGAACUUUUUCAUUUUUCUUCAACCUCUUAGGAGGGCAGUCACUGGCGUGCCUACUUUACUUCUUUUAAGUGAUAGAACAGCAAACAGGCAAC
rnacentral:other from 1 species